rnacentral:rRNA from 1 species
AUUGAACGCUGGCGGCAGGCCUAACACAUGCAAGUCGAGCGGAUGAAGGUAUCUGGCUCCUGGAUUCAGCGGCGGACUGGUGAGUAAUGCCUAGGUAUCUGCCUGGUAGUGGGUGAUAACGUCCGUAAACGGGCGCUAAUACCGCAUACGUCCUGAUGUAGUAAGUGGGGGAUCUUCGGACCUCACGUGAGUUUGUUCGCGUAGGUCGGAUUAGCUAGUUGGUGGGGUAAAGGCCUACCAAGGCGACGAUCCGUAACUGGUCUGAGAGGAUGAUCAGUCACACUGGAACUGAGACACGGUCCAGACUCCUACGGGAGCACGCAGUGGGCACACUUGGACAAUGGGCGAAAGCCUGAUCCAGCCAUGCCGCGUGUGAGAAGAAGGAAUUCGGAUUGUAAAGCACUUUAAGUUGGGAGGAAAAAAAAUAAGUUAAUACCUUGCUGUUUUGACGUUACCAACAGAAUAAGCACCGGCUAACUUCGUG